CGCGGGAUGGAGCAGCCUGGUAGCUCGUCGGGCUCAUAACCCGAAGGUCGUCGGUUCACUCUUUACAAACAAGGGCUCCCACAACCA
rnacentral:tRNA from 1 species